rnacentral:rRNA from 1 species
AUUGAACGCUGGCGGCAGGCCUUACACAUGCAAGUCGAGCGGAGUGGCGGACGGGUGAGUAAUGCCUAGGAAUCUGCCUGGUCGUGGGGGCUAACGUCAGGUAACGGGCGGUAAGACCGCAUACUCUCAGAUGAGCCUAGGUCGGAUUAGCUAGUUGGUGGGGUAAAGGCCUACCAAGGCCACGAUCCGUAACUGGUCUGAGAGGAUGAUCAGUCACACUGGAACUGAGACACGGCCCAGACUCCUACGGGAGGCAGCAGUGGGGAAUAUUGGACAAUGGGCGAAAGCCUGAUCCAGCCAUGCCGCGUGUGUGAAGAAGGUCUUCGGAUUGUAAAGUACUUUUGGUUGGGAAGCGGUACCAACAGAAUAAGCACCGGCUAACUUCGUGCCAGCAGCCGCGGUAAUUC